UACGUAGGGGACAAGCGUUGUCCGGAUUUACUGGGCGUAAAGAGCGCGCAGGCGGUCGUUCAAGUCGAGUGUGAAAGCCCCCGGCUCAACUGGGGAGGGUCAUUCGAUACUGCCGUUCUUGAGGAUUGCAGAGGAGACUGGAAUUCCCGGUGUAGCGGUGAAAUGUGUAGAGAUCGGGAGGAACACCGGUGGCGAAGGCGGGUCUCUGGGCAAUUCCUGACGCUGAGGCGCGAAAGCGUGGGGAGCAAACGGG
rnacentral:rRNA from 1 species